GAUGAACGCUGGCGGCGUGCCUAAUACAUGCAAGUCGAGCGAACGGACGAGAAGCUUGCUUCUCUGAUGUUAGCGGCGGACGGGUGAGUAACACGUGGAUAACCUACCUAUAAGACUGGGAUAACUUCGGGAAACCGGAGCUAAUACCGGAUAAUAUUUUGAACCGCAUGGUUCAAAAGUGAAAGACGGUCUUGCUGUCACUUAUAGAUGGAUCCGCGCUGCAUUAGCUAGUUGGUAAGGUAACGGCUUACCAAGGCAACGAUGCAUAGCCGACCUGAGAGGGUGAUCGGCCACACUGGAACUGAGACACGGUCCAGACUCCUACGGGAGGCAGCAGUAGGGAAGCUUCCGCAAUGGGCGAAAGCCUGACGGAGCAACGCAGCGUGAGUGAUGAAGGUCUUCGGAUCGUAAAACUCUGUUAGUAGGGAAGAACAUAUGUGUAAGUAACUGUGCACAUCUUGACGGUACCUAAUCAGAAAGCCACGGCUAACUACGUG
rnacentral:rRNA from 1 species